AUGGAUUUGGUUUACCUAUACGCCUUUUAUAGCAGUUGUGUCAGACCGUGUGUGAAGCAAGCCAAAGCUAAUACAAGAAAGGUUCAAAGGAGUUGGAGCUACAGCACACGGGAUAUUUAUAUCAAGAUACCUGACAAUAUGUGGCAUUCUUAUUUCAGCUUUGGCAGGAAUAUUAAGGAUGCAGAAGCCAUGAGAGACAAACCUCUAAGAUGGUUCUUUUGCUUCAAACCUGGAUUAUGACCUUCAUCUCAUUACUGAUUUGGAUCCAUAAGCAGCAGAAAGGCAGGACUUUCCUUCUGGACUUGACGUUGACUCUGGCUCUUGAUGCUGAUCCAGCUACUUACCACAUCAGAUCUUGAAAUUUAAUCCUGAUACUUACACAGCUGAGGGUCAAAGGGAUAUUCAAGACUUAUCCAAGUUCAACCAACACAAAAAGGCAUUUUGGCAACUGCUCCUGUAGUAGCGCUCCAUGGAUGUCCAGUUUGAUGUUUCAAUGUCCUUAUCAGAGCAAGCAUACAGAAGUCAAAUUUCCGUCUUUAUUUUUUAUUUGUAACUUGAUCUGAUGAAUGACUCACAGCAUUGCACUCAACCAGAAAGUUUCUAUUUUCACAGCUUUGGAAAAAGUGUAAAGCAAAUCUUUUUCCGUUUUUUUUUAAUUUGGAGAAGUUAAAAUAAAUCGGCAAGAAAACAAAUUAAUAAUACCA
rnacentral:lncRNA from 1 species